CGUCCUUGGCAUUCUACGCUACGGUUACAAUGAUUGCUUCAAAGUAUAGCAAUGGCGAUCUCUGCACCUACUUCAGAUUCCUAGCGACACUUUUCUACAGAUAUCUACGGGGGUCUGAAAUUGAUUAUCGGUGCGGUAAAAAAUGCAGAUAUACCUCAACAUGAAGGCCGCUCAACAAUUCUGUCAGGCAAGGAAUUUCGUCUCGCACCCUCUUUUUUAAGCCCUUCAAGUACUGAGGUAUGAAUCAGCAAAAAUAAACAGAUGAGUUGGGAAUUGAGAUAGAAUCUGACAUAGGAGAUGCCUGUUCUAUUACCGACACUUAAGAUCCAUAUAUAAGUAAAUGUUCCUUCACUAAGUUGAGGGGAUAUGGGUUAUUUCUACUUUCAUGUUUGAAUAAAUAGAUGCAUACAUCCUUCGUCCCAAACUACUGCAAACUUGAAGAAUGCAUAUGGCAUCUAUGAUGAGUAUAAUGGUAAGCUUGAGUGAUAAAUGACACGUGCAAAAUUCUAAAAGAAAAAGAAACAUAUGAAAUGUCUGAAUUGUGAAA